CGCGAAAGGUCUUCGGACUGAGUAAAGCGGCGGACGGGUGAGUAACGCGUAGGAAUCUACCCAGUAGUGGGGGACAACCUGGUGAAAACCAGGCUAAUACCGCAUACGCCCUAUGGGGGAAAGCGGGGGCUCUUCGGACCUCGCGCUAUUGGACGAGCCUGCGUAAGAUUAGCUAGUUGGUGGGGUAAAGGCCUACCAAGGCGACGAUCUUUAGCUGGUCUGAGAGGAUGAUCAGCCACACUGGGACUGAGACACGGCCCAGACUCCUACGGGAGGCAGCAGUGGGGAAUAUUGCGCAAUGGGGGAAACCCUGACGCAGCCAUGCCGCGUGUGUGAAGAAGGCCUUCGGGUUGUAAAGCACUUUCACUAGUGAGGAAAAGCUGCAGCUUAAUACGCUGUAGCCGUGACGUUAACUUGAGAAGAAGCACCGGCUAAUUCAGUGCCAGCAGCCGCGGUAAUACUGAAGGUGCGAGCGUUAAUCGGAAUUACUGGGCGUAAAGCGCGCGUAGGCGGCUUGGUCAGUGAGGUGUGAAAGCCCCGGGCUCAACCUGGGAACUGCAUCUCAUACUGCCAGGCUAGAGUACGGGAGAGGGUUGUGGAAUUCCACGU
rnacentral:rRNA from 1 species